GGGAGUGAACUGGUUGAGAAAAGUGGAAGCUUGUGGAAAAGCGACUUGAGAAGUUUGUAAGAAAACCCUAAAUUAUCAGUCUUGUGGGAAGAAGGCAUUUCGUCUCCACGCAGAGGACCCUAAUCACAUAAAGAAUAUAAGAACCAUCAAGACCAACCAGGUUUGACCGGGUUCUUCAAAAGCAACACCUGCAGUCGAGUCCAUGCCAGACAGUGGGUGCAUGUGAAUGAAUUGCCUUUUGACUAACUUUUGUGUGUUCCUUAUCAAAUACAUGAAGAUUUUCAAA